UACGUAGGGAGCAAGCGUUGUCCGGAAUCAUUGGGCGUAAAGCGCGCGUAGGCGGCCCUGUAAGUCCGUUGUGAAAGUCAAAGGCUCAACCUUUGAAAGCCGAUGGAUACUGCAGGGCUAGAGUCCGGAAGAGGCGAGUGGAAUUCCUGGUGUAGCGGUGGAAUGCGCAGAUACUGGGAGGAACACCAGUGGCGAAGGCGGCUACCUGGACCGGUUCUGACGCUGAGGCGCGAAAGCGUGGGUAGCAAACAGG
rnacentral:rRNA from 1 species